rnacentral:rRNA from 1 species
AUUGAACGCUGGCGGCAGGCCUAACACAUGCAAGUCGAGCGUGAAAGUCCUUCGGGAUGAGUAAAGCGGCGGACGGGUGAGUAACGCGUAGGAAUCUACCUGAUAGUGGAGGAUAACGUCUCGAAAAGGACGCUAAUACCGCAUACGUUCUGAGGAAGAAAGCAGGGGAUCGCAAGACCUUGUGCUAUCAGAUGAGCCUGCGUCCGAUUAGCUAGUUGUGGGGUUAAAGGCCUACCAAGGCGACGAUCGGUAACUGGUCUGAGAGGAUGAUCAGUCCCACUGGAGCUGAGACACGGUCCAGACUCCUACGGGAGGCAGCAGUGGGGAAUAUUGGACAAUGGGGGCAACCCUGAUCCAGCCAUGCCGCGUGUGUGAAGAAGGCCUUCGGGUUGUAAAGCACUUUAAGCGGGGAGGAAGGCUCCAUGGUUAAUACCCAUGGGGAUUGACGUUACCCGCAGAAUAAGCACCGGCAAACUUCGUGCCAGCCGCCGCGGUAA